GCUGGGUGUGGUGAUGCACACCUGUAUUCCCAGCUAUUCAGGAGGCUGAGGCAGGAGAAUCGCUUGAACCCAGGAGGUAGGGGUUGCAGUGAGCCAAGAUCACUCAACAGCACUCCAGCCUGGGUGACAGAGUGAGACCCUGUCUCAA
ensembl:misc_RNA Metazoa_SRP Metazoan signal recognition particle RNA